AACGAACGCUGGCGGCAGGCUUAACACAUGCAAGUCGAGCGCCCCGCAAGGGGAGCGGCAGACGGGUGAGUAACGCGUGGGAAUCUACCCUUCUCUACGGAAUAACGCAUGGAAACGUGUGCUAAUACCGUAUACGUCCUUCGGGAGAAAGAUUUAUCGGAGAUGGAUGAGCCCGCGUUGGAUUAGCUAGUUGGUGGGGUAAAGGCCUACCAAGGCGACGAUCCAUAGCUGGUCUGAGAGGAUGAUCAGCCACACUGGGACUGAGACACGGCCCCGACUCCGACAGGAGGCAGCAGUGGGGAAUAUUGGACAAUGGGCGCAAGCCUGAUCCAGCCAUGCCGCGUGAGUGAUGAAGGCCCUAGGGUUGUAAAGCUCUUUCACCGGUGAAGAUAAUGACGGUAACCGGAGAAGAAGCCCCGGCUAACUUCGUGCCAGCCGCCGCCGUAACAC
rnacentral:rRNA from 1 species